CGUUCCGUGGUGUAAUGGUUAGCACUCUGGACUCUGAAUCCAACGAUCCAAGUUCAAAUCUCGGUGGGACCU
rfam:Danio rerio unplaced genomic contig CTG3250, GRCz11 reference primary assembly.